AGCGAACGCUGGCGGCAGGCCUAACACAUGCAAGUCGAACGGAUCCUUCGGGAUUAGUGGCGGACGGGUGAGUAACACGUGGGAACGUGCCCUAUGGUUCGGCACAACUCAGGGAAACUUGAGCUAAUAACGGAUGUGCCCUUCGGGUGAAAGAUUUAUCGCCAUUGUAGCGGCCCGCGCCUGAUUAGCUAGUUGGUGAGGUAACGGCCCACCAAGGCGACGAUCAGUAGCUGGUCUGAGAGGAUGAUCAGCCACACUGGGACUGAGACACGGCCCAGACUCCUACGGGAGGCAGCAGUGGGGAAUCUUGCGCAAGGGGCGAAAGCCUGACGCAGCCAUGCCGCGUGAAUGAUGAAGGUCUUAGGAUUGUAAAAUUCUUUCAGCGGGGACGAUAAUGACGGUACCCGCAGAAGAAGCUCCGGCUAACUUCGUG
rnacentral:rRNA from 1 species